rnacentral:rRNA from 1 species
UACGGGGGGGGCAAGCGUUGUUCGGAAUUACUGGGCGUAAAGGGCUCGUAGGUGGCCAACUAAGUCAGACGUGAAAUCCCUCAGCUUAACUGGGGAACUGCGUCUGAUACUGGAUGGCUUGAGUUUGGGAGAGGGAUGCGGAAUUCCAGGUGUAGCGGUGAAAUGCGUAGAUAUCUAGAGGAACACCGGUGGCGAAGGCGGCAUCCUGGACCAACACUGACACUGAGGAGCGAAAGCCAGGGGAGCAAACAGG